UGCCUACGGGAGGCAGCAGUGGGGAAUAUUGCACAAUGGGGGAAACCCUGAUGCAGCGACGCCGCGUGAGUGAAGAAGUAUUUCGGUAUGUAAAGCUCUAUCAGCAGGGAAGAUAAUGACGGUACCUGACUAAAAAGCCCCGGCUAACUACGUGCCAGCAGCCGCGGUAAUACGUAGGGGGCAAGCGUUAUCCGGAUUUACUGGGUGUAAAGGGAGCGUAGACGGCAUAGCAAGUCUGAAGUGAAAGCCCGUGGCUCAACCGCGGAACUGCUUUGGAAACUGUUAAGCUGGAGUACUGGAGAGGC
rnacentral:rRNA from 1 species